rnacentral:rRNA from 1 species
UACGUAGGGGGCAAGCGUUGUCCGGAUUUAUUGGGCGUAAAGAGCGUGUAGGCGGCCAGACAGGUCCGUUGUGAAAACUCGAGGCUCAACCUCGAGACGCCGAUGGAAACCCUCCAGCUAGAGUCCGGAAGAGGAGAGUGGAAUUCCUGGUGUAGCGGUGAAAUGCGCAGAUAUCAGGAAGAACACCCGUGGCUAAGGCGGCUCUCUAGUACGGUACUGACGCUGAGACGCGAAAGCGUGGGGAGCGAACAGG